rnacentral:rRNA from 1 species
GAUAAGGUUAAGUGAAUAAGGGCGCACGGUGGAUGCCUUGGCACUAGGAGCCGAUGAAGGACGGGACUAACACCGAUAUGCUUUGGGGAGCUGUAAGUAAGCUAUGAUCCAGAGAUUUCCGAAUGGGGGAACCCAAUAUCUUUUAUAGGAUAUUACUUUUCAGUGA